AUUGAACGCUGGCGGAAUGCUUUACACAUGCAAGUCGAACGGCAGCACGGGGCAACCUGGUGGCGAGUGGCGAACGGGUGAGUAAUACAUCGGAACGUGCCCAAUCGUGGGGGAUAACGUAGCGAAAGUUACGCUAAUACCGCAUACGAUCUACGGAUGAAAGCGGGGGAUCGCAAGACCUCGCGCGAAUGGAGCGGCCGAUGUCAGAUUAGGUAGUUGGUGGGGUAAAGGCUCACCAAGCCAACGAUCUGUAGCUGGUCUGAGAGGACGACCAGCCACACUGGAACUGAGACACGGUCCAGACUCCUACGGGAGGCAGCAGUGGGGAAUUUUGGACAAUGGGCGCAAGCCUGAUCCAGCCAUUCCGCGUGCAGGAUGAAGGCCUUCGGUUGUAAACUGCUUUGUACGGUAACGAAACGGCGAGCUCUAAUACAGUUUGCUAAUGACGGUACCGUAAGAAUAAGACACCGGCUAACUACGUGCCAGCAGCCG
rnacentral:rRNA from 1 species